rnacentral:rRNA from 1 species
GACGAACGCUGGCGGCGUGCCUAAUACAUGCAAGUCGAACGCAGUGAGGACGGGUGAGUAACACGUGGGUAACCUCCCAUCAGAGGGGAUAACACUUGGAAACAGGUGCUAAACCGAUACUGAUGGAUGGACCCGCGGUGCCUGAGCUAGUGGGUGAGGUAAAGGCUCACCAAGGCCAAGAUGCAUAGCCGAAGUGAGAGGUGGAUCGGCCACACUGGGACUGAGACACGGCCCAUACUCCUACGGUAGGCAGCAGUAGGGAAUCUUCGGCAAUGGACGAAAGUCUGACCGAGCAACGCCGCGUGAGUGAAGAAGGUUUUCGGAUCGUAAAACUCUGUUGUGAGAGAAGCGGUAUCUAACCAGAAAGCCACGGCUAACUACGUGCCAGCAGCCGCGGUAAUAC